rnacentral:rRNA from 1 species
GGUGAACGCUGGCGGCGUGCCUAAUACAUGCAAGUCGAGCGAACGGACGAGAAGCUUGCUUCUCUGAUGUUAGCGGCGGACGGGUGAGUAACACGUGGAUAACCUACCUAUAAGACUGGGAUAACUUCGGGAGACCGGAGCUAAUACCGGAUAAUAUUUUGAACCGCAUGGUUCAAAAGUGAAAGACGGUCUUGCUGUCACUUAUAGAUGGAUCCGCGCUGCAUUAGCUAGUUGGUAAGGUAACGGCUUACCAAGGCAACGAUGCAUAGCCGACCUGAGAGGGUGAUCGGCCACACUGGAACUGAGACACGGUCCAGACUCCUACGGGAGGCAGCAGUAGGGAAUCUUCCGCAAUGGGCGAAAGCCUGACGGAGCAACGCCGCGUGAGUGAUGAAGGUCUUCGGAUCGUAAAACUCUGUUAUUAGGGAAGAACAUAUGUGUAAGUAACUGUGCACAUCUUGACGGUACCUAAUCAGAAAGCCACGGCUAACUACGUGCCAGCAGCCGCGGUAAUACGUAGGUGGCAAGCGUUAUCCGGAAUUAUUGGGCGUAAAGCGCGCGUAGGCGGUUUUUUAAGUCUGAUGUGAAAGCCCACGGCUCAACCGUGGAGGGUCAUUGGAAACUGGAAAACUUGAGUGCAGAAGAGGAAAGUGGAAUUCCAUGUGUAGCGGUGAAAUGCGCAGAGAUAUGGAGGAACACCAGUGGCGAAGGCGACUUUCUGGUCUGUAACUGACGCUGAUGUGCGAAAGCGUGGGGAUCAAACAGGAUUAGAUACCCUGGUAGUCCACGCCGUAAACGAUGAGUGCUAAGUGUUAGGGGGUUUCCGCCCCUUAGUGCUGCAGCUAACGCAUUAAGCACUCCGCCUGGGGAGUACGACCGCAAGGUUGAAACUCAAAGGAAUUGACGGGGACCCGCACAAGCGGUGGAGCAUGUGGUUUAAUUCGAAGCAACGCGAAGAACCUUACCAAAUCUUGACAUCCUUUGACAACUCUAGAGAUAGAGCCUUCCCCUUCGGGGGACAAAGUGACAGGUGGUGCAUGGUUGUCGUCAGCUCGUGUCGUGAGAUGUUGGGUUAAGUCCCGCAACGAGCGCAACCCUUAAGCUUAGUUGCCAUCAUUAAGUUGGGCACUCUAAGUUGACUGCCGGUGACAAACCGGAGGAAGGUGGGGAUGACGUCAAAUCAUCAUGCCCCUUAUGAUUUGGGCUACACACGUGCUACAAUGGACAAUACAAAGGGCAGCGAAACCGCGAGGUCAAGCAAAUCCCAUAAAGUUGUUCUCAGUUCGGAUUGUAGUCUGCAACUCGACUACAUGAAGCUGGAAUCGCUAGUAAUCGUAGAUCAGCAUGCUACGGUGAAUACGUUCCCGGGUCU